rnacentral:rRNA from 1 species
GGUCAAGCUACUAAGGGUGUGCGGUGGAUGCCUUGGCGGCAGGGAGCGAUGAAGGACGUGGCGUGGCUGCGAUAAGCUCCGGGGAAGCGCUAAGCAGCUCGUGAUCCGGAGAUUUCCGAAUGGGGCAACCCGGCAAGUUGAAGACUUGUCAACGUACGCUGAAUUCAUAGGCGUGCGCGGCGAACCAGGGGAAUUGAAACAUCUUAGUACCCUGAGGAAGAGAAAGAGCAUUCGAUUCCCCCAGUAGCGGCGAGCGAAAAGGGAAGAGCCCAAACCACAUUCGUGUAAGGGCACAACCGUUGCGGAUGUGGCGUCGAGGGAAGCACCUUCCUGGUUGUGACAAAGGAAGGGAGUCAAAAAGGUUCAUGGUAGACGAGCCGUCUGGAAAGGCGGGCCACAGAGCGUGAUAGCCGCGUAGUCGAAACCAUGAAUUCUCCCGGUGCUUUCCCAAGUAGCGCCAGACUCGUGAAACCUGGUGCGAAUUCGGGGGGACCACCUCCCAAGGCUAAAUAUCUCCUGCCGACCGAUAGCGCAUAGUACCGUGAGGGAAAGGUGAAAAGAACCCCUGUUAGGGGAGUGAAAUAGACCUGAAACCGCAUACCUACAAGCGGUCGAAGCCCUAUGCCUGAAGAAAUUCGGGAAUGGGUGACGGCGUGCCUUUAGCAUAAUGAUCCAGCGAGUUACUCGUACGCUGCGAGGUUAAGGCCUUUUGGGCUGUAGCCGUAGUGAAAGCGAGCGUGAAUAGCGCGUUAAGUAGCGUGCGGUAGACCCGAAAGCGGGUGAUCUAUCCAUGGGCAGGUUGAAGCGGAUGUAAAAAUCCGUGGAGGACCGAACCCACUAAGGUUGAAGACUUAGGGGAUGACCUGUGGAUCGGAGUGAAAAGCUAAUCGAACUCGCAGAUAUCUGGUUCUCCCCGAAAUAGCUUUUGGGCUAGCCUCGAGUCAUACCUGACGGGGGUAGAGAUACUGAUUGGGUCCGGGGGGCUUCCCGCCUACCCAACCUAACCAAACUCCGAAUACCGUCAGCAGUACCUCGGGAGUCAGACUGUGGGGGAUAAGCUUCAUAGUCGAGAGAGAAACAGCUCAGACCGCCGGCUAAGGUCCCUAAUGCGGGCUAAGUGGCUUAAGGAAGUGGAAGUGCGAAGACAGCUAGGAUGUUGGCUUAGAAGCAGCCAUCAUUUAAAAAGUGCGUAACAGCUUACUAGUCGAGCCCUUCCGCGCCGAAAAUUGGCGGGACUCAAGUCCGCUACCGAAGCCGCGGGUUUGGAGAGACUGCGGUCUCUCCAAGCGGUAGGGGAGCGUUCCACCCUAGGAUGAAGGCGUACCGUAAGGAGCGCUGGACGAAGUGGAAGCGAUGAUGCUGGAAUAAGUAGCGAUAAGAUGAGUGAGAAUCUCAUCCGCCGAAAACCUAAGGUUUCCUGGGGAAGGCAAUUCCGCCCAGGGUUAGUCGGCCCCUAAGGCGAGGCCGAAAGGCGUAGUCGAUGGACAGCAGGUUAAUAUUCCUGCACCGCUCAUGAUGGGUUGAUGAUGGGGUGACGGAGGCUCGAUUGCCUACGGGCGACUGAUUGUGCCCGGUGGCUGGGGGAGGACCGCCGCAGGUAAAUCCGCGGCAUACGGUUCGAACUCGGCGACGAAUUCCUUUUUGAGAAGAAGUGGCUUGAAGGCUUCCCAAGAAAAACCUCGGUUCGUACUUUCAUGAGCGACCGUACUAAAACUGACACAGGUAGGUGGGGUGAGUAUCCUAAGGCGCUCGGGGGAACUGUGGUAAAGGAACUCGGCAAAAUGGCCCCGUAACUUCGGGAUAAGGGGCGCCCCUUGGAGAAGGCUUCGCAAGAAGAACCGGGGGGCUGCAGGAAUCGGUUGUUACGACUGUUUACUAAAAACACAGGUCUCUGCCAAGUCCACAAAGACGACGUAUAGAGACUGACGCUUGCUCGGUGCCGGAAGGUCAAGGUGAGGGGUCAGCCCGCAAGGGCGAAGCUCCGAGCCGAAGCCCCGGUUAACGGCGGCCGUAACUAUGACGGUCCUAAGGUAGCGAAGUUCCUUGUCGGGUAAGUUCCGACGCGCAUGAAUAGCGUAACGUAGCAACGCUGUCUCUACCGCAGACCCGGCGAAAUUGUAGUAGCGGUGAAGAUGCCGCUUACCCGCAGUUAGACGGAAAGACCCCGUGAACCUUCACUGUAGCCUAUUAUUGAGUUUGGGUGUGGCAUGUGUAGGAUAGGUGGGAGGCAUUGAAGCUGGGACGCCAGUCUCAGCAGAGCCGCCGGUGAAAUACCACCCUUGUUGCAUCUAAAUUCUAACUCGAUUCCUUGAACCAGGGUCCAGGACAGUGAUAGGUGGGCAGUUUGGCUGGGGCGGCUUCCUCCUAAAGAGUAACGGAGGAGCCCAAAGGCACCUUCAGCGCGGUUGGCAAUCGCGCGGAGAGCGUAAGGGUAUAAGGGUGCCUGACUGUGAGACCAAUAAGUCGAGCAGAGGUGAAAGCCGGGCCUAAUGAUCCGGCGUUACCGGGUGGAAGGGACGUCGCUCAUCAGAUAAAAGGUACUCCGGGGAUAACAGGCUGAUCUCUCCCAAGAGUCCAUAUCGACGGGGAGGUUUGGCACCUCGAUGUCGGCUCAUCACAUCCUGGGGCUGUAGGAGGUCCCAAGGGUUCGGCUGUUCGCCGAUUAAAGUGGUACGCGAGCUGGGUUUAGACCGGCGUGAGCCAGGUCGGUCCCUAUCUACUGUGGGUGCAGGAGACUUGCGGGGAGCUGUCCCUAGUACGAGAGGAUCGGGAUGGACGGACCUCUGGUGUACCUGUUGUCUCGUCAGAGGCACCGCAGGGUAGCUAUGUCCGGAAGGGAUAAGCGCUGAAAGCAUAUAAGUGCGAAGCCCCCCCCAAAACGAGGUCUCCCUGAAGGCACCUCGAAGACGACGAGGUUGAUAGGCCGGAGGUGUAAGCACGGCAACGUGUUCAGCCGACCGGUACUAAUCUGCCGUUCGGCUUGACCGU